rnacentral:rRNA from 1 species
UACGUAGGGUCCAAGCGUUAAUCGGAAUUACUGGGCGUAAAGCGUGCGCAGGCGGUUGUGUAAGGCAGAUGUGAAAUCCCCGGGCUCAACCUGGGAAUUGCAUUUGAGACUGCACGGCUAGAGUGUGUCAGAGGGGGGUAGAAUUCCACGUGUAGCAGUGAAAUGCGUAGAGAUGUGGAGGAAUACCGAUGGCGAAGGCAGCCCCCUGGGAUAACACUGACGCUCAUGCACGAAAGCGUGGGGAGCAAACAGG